AUCCAGCUGAUGAGCCCCAAAUAGGACGAAAUGCACGCCGUGGAU
rfam:Schistosoma mansoni, Puerto Rico, WGS project CABG01000000 data, contig: 0105